GAUCCUGGCUCAGGAUGAACGCUAGCUACAGGCUUAACACAUGCAAGUCGAGGGGCAGCAUGAAAGUAGCUUGCUACUUUUGAUGGCGACCGGCGCACGGGUGCGUAACGCGUAUCCAAUCUACCCAUGGCUCAGGGAUAGCCUUUCGAAAGAAAGAUUAAUACCUGAUGGUUUCGCUUUUCCGCAUGGUUUAGCGAAUAAAGAUUUAUCGGCGAUGGAUGAGGAUGCGACUGAUUAGGUUGUUGGCGGGGUAACGGCCCACCAAGCCGACGAUCAGUAGGGGUUCUGAGAGGAAGGUCCCCACAUUGGAACUGAGACACGGUCCAAACUCCUACGGGAGGCAGCAGUGAGGAAUAUUGGUCAAUGGACGAGAGUCUGAACCAGCCAAGUAGCGUGAAGGAUGACGGCCCUAUGGGUUGUAAACUUCUUUUGUUUGGGAAUAAAGUGCUCUACGUGUAGAGUUUUGUAUGUACCUUACGAAUAAGCAUCGGCUAAUUCCGUGCC
rnacentral:rRNA from 1 species